UGGGGAAUAUUGCACAAUGGGGGAAACCCUGAUGCAGCGACGCCGCGUGAACGAAGAAGGUAUUCGUAUCGUAAAGUUCUGUCCUAUGGGAAGAUAAUGACAGUACCAUAGAAGAAAGCUCCGGCUAAAUACGUGCCAGCAGCCGCGGUAAUACGUAUGGAGCGAGCGUUGUCCGGAAUUAUUGGGCGUAAAGGGUACGCAGGCGGUUUAAUAAGUCGAAUGUUAAAGAUCGGGGCUCAACCCCGCAAAGCAUUGGAAACUGAUAAACUUGAGUAGUGGAGAGGAAAGUGGAAUUCCUGGUGUAGUUGUGAAAUACGUAGAUAUUAGGAGGAAUACCAGUAGCGAAGGCGACUUUCUGGACACAAACUGACGCUGAGGUACGAAAGCGUGGGGAGCAAACAGG
rnacentral:rRNA from 1 species